UAACCGGCGAUUUCCGAAUGGGGAAACCCAGUGUGAUUCGUCACACUAUCAUUAACUGAAUCCAUAGGUUAAUGAGGCGAACCGGGGGAACUGAAACAUCUAAGUACCCCGAGGAAAAGAAAUCAACCGAGAUUCCCCCAGUAGCGGCGAGCGAACGGGGAGCAGCCCAGAGCCUGAAUCAGUGUGUGUGUUAGUGGAAGCGUCUGGAAAGGCGCGCGAUACAGGGUGACAGCCCCGUACACAAAAAUGCACAUAUUGUGAGCUCGAUGAGUAGGGCGGGACACGUGGUAUCCUGUCUGAAUAUGGGGGGCCCAUCCUCCAAGGCUAAAUACUCCUGACUGACCGAUAGUGAACCAGUACCGUGAGGGAAAGGCGAAAAGAACCCCGGCGAGGGGAGUGAAAAAGAACCUGAAACCGUGUACGUACAAGCAGUGGGAGCACGCUUAGGCGUGUGACUGCGUACCUUUUGUAUAAUGGGUCAGCGACUUAUAUUCUGUAGCAAGGUUAACCGAAUAGGGGAGCCGAAGGGAAACCGAGUCUUAACUGGGCGUUAAGUUGCAGGGUAUAGACCCGAAACCCGGUGAUCUAGCCAUGGGCAGGUUGAAGGUUGGGUAACACUAACUGGAGGACCGAACCGACUAAUGUUGAAAAAUUAGCGGAUGACUUGUGGCUGGGGGUGAAAGGCCAAUCAAACCGGGAGAUAGCUGGUUCUCCCCGAAAGCUAUUUAGGUAGCGCCUCGUGAAUUCAUCUCCGGGGGUAGAGCACUGUUUCGGCAAGGGGGUCAUCCCGACUUACCAACCCGAUGCAAACUGCGAAUACCGGAGAAUGUUAU
rnacentral:rRNA from 1 species